rfam:Otolemur garnettii contig121834, whole genome shotgun sequence.
AUACUUAACCUGGCCAGGUAGAUACCAUGAUCACAAAGGUGGUUUUGCCAGGGCAAGGCUUAUCCUUUGCACUCUGGGUAUGCUGACCCCUGCAAUUUCCCCAAAUGUGGGAAACUCAACUGCAUAAUUUGUGGUAGUGAGGGAAAAAGAAAUCCUAUU